rnacentral:rRNA from 1 species
GUACACAAAAAUACACAUACUGUGAGCUCGAUGAGUAGGGCGGGACACGUGGUAUCCUGUCUGAAUAUGGGGGGACCAUCCUCCAAGGCUAAAUACUCCUGACUGACCGAUAGUGAACCAGUACCGUGAGGGAAAGGCGAAAAGAACCCCGGCGAGGGGAGUGAAAAAGAACCUGAAACCGUGUACGUACAAGCAGUGGGAGCACGCUUAGGCGUGUGACUGCGUACCUUUUGUAUAAUGGGUCAGCGACUUAUAUUCUGUAGCAAGGUUAACCGAAUAGGGGAGCCGAAGGGAAACCGAGUCUUAACUGGGCGUUAAGUUGCAGGGUAUAGACCCGAAACCCGGUGAUCUAGCCAUGGGCAGGUUGAAGGUUGGGUAACACUAACUGGAGGACCGAACCGACUAAUGUUGAAAAAUUAGCGGAUGACUUGUGGCUGGGGGUGAAAGGCCAAUCAAACCGGGAGAUAGCUGGUUCUCCCCGAAAGCUAUUUAGGUAGCGCCUCGUGAAUUCAUCUCCGGGGGUAGAGCACUGUUUCGGCAAGGGGGUCAUCCCGACUUACCAACCCGAUGCAAACUGCGAAUACCGGAGAAUGUUAUCACGGGAGACACACGGCGGGUGCUAACGUCCGUCGUGAAGAGGGAAACAACCCAGACCGCCAGCUAAGGUCCCAAAGUCAUGGUUAAGUGGGAAACGAUGUGGGAAGGCCCAGACAGCCAGGAUGUUGGCUUAGAAGCAGCCAUCAUUUAAAGAAAGCGUAAUAGCUCACUGGUCGAGUCGGCCUGCGCGGAAGAUGUAACGGGGCUAAACCAUGCACCGAAGCUGCGGCAGCGACGCUUAUGCGUUGUUGGGUA